rnacentral:rRNA from 1 species
AACGAACGCUGGCGGCAUGCCUGACACAUGCAGGUCGAACGAGACCUUCGGGUCUAGUGGCGCACGGGUGCGUAACGCGUGGGAACCUGCCCUUAGGUUCGGAAUAACUCCCCGAAAGGGGUGCUAAUACCGGAUAAUGUCUUCGGACCAAAGAUUUAUCGCCUUUGGAUGGGCCCGCGUUGGAUUAGCUAGUUGGUAGGGUAAAAGCCUACCAAGGCGACGAUCCAUAGCUGGUCUGAGAGGAUGAUCAGCCACACUGGGACUGAGACACGGCCCAGACUCCUACGGGAGGCAGCAGUGGGGAAUAUUGGACAAUGGGCGAAUGCCUGAUCCAGCAAUGCCGCGUGAGUGAUGAAGGCCUUAGGGUUGUAAAGCUCUUUUACCCGGGAUGAUAAUGACAGUACCGGGAGAAUAAGCUCCGGCUAACUCCGUG